CAAGCUGUAGGUGGGUUUUGCUGCCAGGAAGACGCCAGAGGCCGAUUUUCAUCUAGAAACAAAGGCAUUUGGGGGGAUUGUCUCCAUGCCUGGCCAAGUUUUUCACAGCACGCAGGCAUUAACCGAAGAAACAGAACUUGCCAAAACAGUACUUAAGCCCAGGACUCAGUCUCUCAACUCUGAAGGACUGCUUCAAAGAGAAACCAAGAGUUUUUGCAACAAAGACCAGGGAUCAAGCCUCUGGUCAAAGGACAAGAAAGUGUCUUCAAGCUUCUGUGGACAACUAGGGGCCUUGUGCCCUGCCUAGUGGAGAAUGCUGUCGACCACAUGGAGGAUCAAGCUGGGUGAAAGAGCAGCAAGGACUCCCCUACCUCACAGGACAGAAUGAGGAAGACAGAGAAGUCAUUAGUGGAACCACUGAGGUCAGGUCGCAGGUUCCGGCACCACCGCUGGGGAGACUGGGUGAUGACAGCUGGAGAGGGAAGCAGGAGAAAGCAAGCUGCCCUGGGCUGAACACACCUGUGCCCAGGAUGGCGUGUCAGGCACCGAACACGAAAUUCCCCUGGAGGCUGCUGCCACUGCUCUCAUUUGCCAAAGCUAAGUAAGAAUGACACAACAAAUAUAGGAAAAGUAAAGAGAAACAAAGUGCUCAAGUGCAGAUGAGUAUGAAGAACAAAAUUUUUCCUCUUCAUUAUUAAAAUCCGAGAGAGUAGCACAUGUGCCAUAUUUUCUAGGGAGCUUUGUAAAACAAAAAGCUAGUGGUUCUCCUGAGCCGAGGAGAGAAACUGGGGCCUGCAUCUCACUGGAAAAUAGAUCUGUUUGAAGUAAGAGUCACAGUGGAAGAGCUGAGGAAUAUGUCUUGACUGAUAGUGGCUAUAUUUCUCACCUUCUUUCUAAUGUGCUCUUGCUCUUUAGAAUUUAUUUUACUAUAAUGGAAAAAUUACCAAAUGGUUCUCCAGCUCUUUCAGAAAAGCUGAGUAAUAAACAGGAGGUAUAAGAGUAAAUAGUGAAAAAAAAAAAGGAGUAAAUAGUGUACAAGAUGAGACUCCCCAUCCUUAAUAAUGAUGGCUGAAUAGAGGGAAGAGAGUAAUUUGCAACAGUUAACCCCCUCUCCUAUACAUGAUAGUAUAUCUGGCAGCCUGCUCUGACAUUCCCUCUGCUCCCUAACUACUGCAACACCCUCCUAAUUGCCCUCCCAGUUUCUUACUUUUUUCUUUUCCUUCUUUUUUGUUUUUAGUAUAUUGGCUGUGCUGCAUGAUACGUGAGAAAGCUUCCCAGGU